GGUUAAGCGACUAAGCGUACACGGUGGAUGCCCUGGCAGUCAGAGGCGAUGAAGGACGUGCUAAUCUGCGAUAAGCGUCGGUAAGGUGAUAUGAACCGUUAUAACCGGCGAUUUCCGAAUGGGGAAACCCAGUGUGAUUCGUCACACUAUCAUUAACUGAAUCCAUAGGUUAAUGAGGC
rnacentral:rRNA from 1 species